UGUGCUGAGUCAGAAGGAGUUCACUAAUGUGGCUGAAACCAUGGCCUCUAGUUGGAAGUUAGUAGAUGCUAUGCAGGCACUCCAUCUCAACCACUAUGGAAAUGGUGCCUUUCUCGCUCAGAUCACUUUGCCUAAUCUUUUCAUGAAGAUUUGGGAAGCUUAGUCCAUGAACCAAGAAAUCACCAAAAAUUUGAGUAAGUUCACUUCUGAUGAGUUUCCCUAUUUUAAGCUCUUAGAUGAUGGGUUGUCCAGAUUUUGGGAUUGUAUUUGGGUCCCUAUCACUUUUAGGAUGGAUGUUCUCAAGGCUGCCCAUGCCUCCAAACUAUCCAUCAAC
rnacentral:lncRNA from 1 species